rnacentral:rRNA from 1 species
CAUGCAAGUCGAACGACAGCACGGAGCUUGCUCUGGUGGCGAGUGGCGAACGNNUGAGUAAUGCGUCGGAACGUAUCCAAUAAUGGGGGAUAACGCAGCGAAAGCUGUGCUAAUACCGCAUACGCCCUGAGGGGGAAAGCAGGGGAUCUUCGGACCUUGCGUUAGUGGAGCGGCCGACGUCUGAUUAGCUAGUUGGUAGGGUAAAGGCCUACCAAGGCGACGAUCAGUAGCUGGUCUGAGAGGAUGAUCAGCCACACUGGAACUGAGACACGGUCCAGACUCCUACGGGAGGCAGCAGUGGGGAAUUUUGGACAAUGGGGGAAACCCUGAUCCAGCCAUUCCGCGUGAGUGAAGAAGGCCUUCGGGUUGUAAAGCUCUUUCAGGAGGGAAGAAACGAUCAUGGUUAAUAACCAUGAUUAAUGACGGUACCUUCAGAAGAAGCACCGGCUAACUACGUGCCAGCAGCCGCGGUAAUACGUAGGGUGCGAGCGUUAAUCGGAAUUACUGGGCGUAAAGCGUGCGCAGGCGGUUUAUCAAGUCUGAUGUGAAAGCCCCGGGCUUAACCUGGGAACUGCGUUGGAAACUGAUAAACUAGAGUACGGCAGAGGGGGGUAGAAUUCCACGUGUAGCAGUGAAAUGCGUAGAUAUGUGGAGGAAUACCGAUGGCGAAGGCAGCCCCCUGGGUCGAUACUGACGCUCAUGCACGAAAGCGUGGGUAGCAAACAGGAUU